ACGCACCCUCUUUAACCAAUGGGGACUCGGGGGGGGAACCGCAAUUCACCAAUCGGAGCUGUCCAGGUGCGGUGCCUGAUGCGCGAAGCGUGGCUCCGUCCGAUUGGUCAGCCUUAGCCUCUUUUGUCCAAUCAAAUGGCUCCGCGGACCCCUCUCACGCGGGACCGCCCCUUUGCCUGGGGCGCUUUGGCCUCUAUGGGAAACCGUCCAAUUAACGUCAGGUCAGAACACAUCCCUCUUUUUGGAGCGGUCGCCCCGGAACCACUUCCGGAUCCUAGAGAGCGUUUCUUCCGUGGCCAGGGGAAACGGUAGCCACGGCGGACAUGUACCAGAUUUAAAAGGGAAGAUCGAUAUCAAAGUAUGACAGUGAUUCUUCACCUAGACAGACUUCAGGAAGGAUCUGCGAUGCCCUUAAUUAUGUGAAGAACAGAAUUUUUAUAAGGCAAAGGAUUUUUCUUGGCUGCCAUGCUCGCUGUCUGCUCAUCACAAAUUCAUCAUGAGCACCUUCUCCUCCAGCCUGUCCCACAAGUUACUGUGUGCUCGCUCAGACGUGAGGACUGUGGAACUCAUUAGCACAGGAAAUGAAGACGUAAAACUAAACAUCUGGAGACAAUAUCUCUUCAUUCCCAUCAAAGACUGCUUUCGACAGAACAGACAGAGUUUGAGGAAAAAAACAAACCUGAAUUCUUUAAAACUCAAAUCCUGGCAAAUGAAUUGAAAGAAUGUAGAAUCUACCAGAAUGAGUUUCAGUGUCUGAAGGAAUACCUGGAGGUGUCUCUCUUCAGGAGCUCUGGGAAUUGAUUCUGAAAUGCUGGACUGAAGUCUAUGGUUGGACUUUUAAACAAAAGAAGGCAAAUUCAGGCACUGUGGCUUCAGGAGAAGGUGUAAUCGCUCCUGUCCGAGAAAGCAGUCCACAUACCUUUCCGAACCCAAUGCAUCACAAGAAAACACUGCCACUGAAUCUUGGUCGGUUCCUUCCAACGGCAAACCGCUUUCCGGAGAGGGUUCCAGGAGCUGCGUGGUGUCCGAAGAGGAGUGGCCGUUAUGGGAACUCGUGCAGCUUCCUCUCAUCUCCCAGGUAUCAUGGAUUUUAUAUCGAAGAUGCAUAGCCUGAGCUUCUGGACAAGGCUGCACUUCUUCCACUGCUGGAAUGUAUAUCGGAAGCUGGAUAUGACCCCACAGGGGCCUAUUCACGCUCAGUGGUCAAGAUUAAAGAAGAUAAGUUCCAUAAAAUGAGGAGAGAUACACACUCUCAGGUAUAGCGCGUGGUGAUGUUCCAUAGUUCGUUUAGCUGGGAUAUGGAGUAGCCAAGAAUUACUGUUUCCUCAUGUAAUUCUGAUCAACCCAACAGACCUCUCUGAGUACGCCUCCCCACAACUGAAGGUAAGAAAUCGGGAAAAAGCGUGAACUUUAACGUGGCUCUUCUUUAUCGUCUUGUUGUGGCUGUUUUCCAGGGCUCUGUCCUUAGCAUUUUUUCCUGUCUGUGCUUUCUCACGGCUUCAGCCACACCCCUGACAUCUUCAUUCUUUAUCUGUAUUUCCACGCCCCACUUCCCGAGAGCUUCUCAUAGUAUUAUUGCUUCAUCAACAGCUUUCCUGAGUGACCAGUUGACAGUUCAAAUGAAGUAGGUGCAAAGCCUAAAUUAUUUCAGGUUCUCCCCCCCAAACUUGUUUUUCUUUCUGUGUUCCCUUAAUCUGCUGACGGUGCCAGUAACUUCCUCCAACACUCAGAGCUGGAAAUGUGUAAUUACUGUGCCGGGGGGUGGCCUCAGUCCAAAUCGGGACCACUCUUAUUCUGCCUAAUGACCAGGGUUUGGACAGCACUUUGGUUAAUAUUUCCUCCCUGUGUUCUCCAUACGUGUUCCCUUUGCCUGUCUCUCUCUCUCUCCCCCUCAUCUCCCUUUCAUCCUGUAUUUCCUGGCUUAUUAAACAGAAAUAACCUUCAUUUAUUCUUCCAACAAGUAGUAGCUACACGCCUUCCCUGGAUCAUAGGCUCACUGGGCCCUGCUGACAUAGCAGUGAACUAGGCAGACAGAAUCCCUGACCUCGUGGGGUUUACAGUCUAGUGACCAUAAUAACAGACUGUGAGCAUUUGUCAGGAGCCAGGCUCUAAUUCAAGUAUUUUAUAUGUAUUAUUUUGUUUAAGUCUCAUAAAACCUGUAUAAUACUAUUAUUAGCUUGAUUGAAAUUAAGGAAACUGAAUCUCAGAGAGGUGAGGGAAGUUGCCCAAGAUCUCCCAGAUCGUUAGGGAUGGGUUUGGGCUCCUCACACCUCCAUCCCUUGUGGUCCUUUUACGUGCAGCCUUUCUCUUUAUUCUUAUUACCAUGUGUGAGUUACAUCAUGUUGGAAUUUGUCUGAUCUACUGAUCCUCCAUGUGGAAGGACCCAAGCGAUACGUGUAAAGAUACCAAUGUGUUGAAUAAAGCCAGGCUUCAUCUGGAAUUGUGUCAGUGCUUAGGGAUGUAGGGCAGAGGAAGGAGAUCGUGGAGUGGGGGUAUUUCUGUAUAUCAGAGGAAGCUGGCAGCUUACCAGAAGAUUUAGAUCUCCGGGGUGGCCUGAAAGUCCUUCCUCAGAAUGCCACAACUGCUGUCAUAACAGGGUUGUGUCAUAACAUGAUGGAAGGGGCUGGGAGCUGGGGGCUGGAAAGUGGGAGGAAAGCACCUACUAGUUCAGUGUGUAAAAUGUCAGGAUUUCCUGGGUAUAAAUGAGGCUAGUUCAGAAUGUGUCCCUUUGAAUUAGGGUGGAGAUGUCCCUAGGUCUGUGCUGGUGAUUCUGUAGCAUGUUGCUUAUCGCCAUUGACCAAAACAGGAAUCACUAACGAAGGAGCAGGUUUGGGAGCAGAAGCCAUGCUGAGUCUGGAGUGAAUGUAGGAUGUGGGAAGGAGAUAUUCUCUGGGCUCAGAGAAAGAGAGCUGGGCCAGGGAUUUGUGCUUAUCGUGGGGACCAAAGCCAGAAGAGGGAAUAGGAGCAUCCAGGGACAGGAAGAAGAGAGAUGGGCCCAGGACAGAGCUCUGAGGGGUGAGCAGAGGAGAGUGCAGAAAGAGGAAGAGGAGGGCUCAGACAGGUAGGAGGAAAACCAGGAGGAUAAGGAAUUAGAAAUUGCAAAAGUGAGGAUGGAUGUCCAUUUAAUGCAUUUAAUUAAAUGUCUGCUAUUCCAUUUUAAAUGAUUUUCUAAUCUGUGCCGUGUUGAAACCCUUCUCUCACACCCCUACAUUUUUAGCAAAAGUCGGUUAUAAAUUGUUGGGGGCAUGAAGGAGGAUCUACAGGGUCCCACAUUAAAGGCAGUGUGAAUGAGAGAGGGGACUGCCAGCAGCCCCAGGAAGCCGCCACUGGAAGUGUAAGCCCAAGUAGGACAAGGGGCCCGGGUGGGAGCAGGAGUCUAGGGAGGAGAGCACAGGCAGACCCAAGCAUCACUGGAAGCAGGACUGGCCCAGCUUGGAAGUGAAUGUCGGACAAAUUCCUUUCCCCAGAUCCAACAAUGGGAAGAGGCUUGAGGAGGGGCGGGCCAGAUCCCGCUGUUGGGUGCAGAGCAGCUUUCCAGGCAGGCUUGCUUCAAAGUAGAAGGAAAGCCCUGAUUUAUGGAGAUAGUAGGAGCGUCUUCCCAACCACAGUGCCUAGAGUCCCUCCUCACACAGGAGAUGAUUAAGAAUGCCCUUUGGAGGCUCAUUCUUCAUAAUCCCUAUGCAGUUCUGAAAGGUAAGUUGGGUACUUACACUUUUGACCCCUGCCUGCUUCUGGAAAGCUAGUGAGAGUUUUUCCAAGGAUGCCCAGUCUGUUUAGUUUGAUGGCAGAGUGGAGGAGCGUCUGAUGUAGCUUGGGCUACAUCACGAUGGAGCGCACGCCCAGCUUCUCGGCUCCUUCUCCCGGUCUGUGUGGUUUGGCUCCCUCUGGUGGCCGCGACGAGAACAAGCAGCCUAACUUUUUGGAGUGAUGGAACGAUGCACAGUUCCGAGAGUCUGGAACUCAUUUCUCCUCGGUGCUUCCUGGAGCUAGAACUUGCCCCUCCGUGUGGGACGCAUCUGAGGAAGCUGCACCUCCGACUGAUGGUCAUUAGGGAGAUCUAGAGGACAACCUCUAUGGUCGAAUCAGUUUUAAUAGAUUAUCUGUGACACGGUACCCUUGUUUUUGGCUAGAGCCCUGGGUCACAUCAAAGUGAAGAAAACCCAUUUCUGGCUGUAGUCAUUUUGGGGGCAAUGUCAAAGAUGAGAAUGUACAGACUAAGAGCAGAUGUGGUGCAAGGAUGGGUCCCAGCAUGGCUCCAUCUUGACAGAUGGCUAGCCAGCUGCUCUCCAGCCUGUGUGGUAGGGCGAAUCAUCUUGUUUUUAAGUGGCAGAUUUUUAAUGCCAAUGAUAAAUGCAUUACAUUACAGGAUCUUGUCAGAAGGUUCUAGCAAAUGGGGCAAUACCAGGUUUUCAUGACUAGUGUAUGAAGCUUUACCUCUGAUACCUUCAUAAACCUCUAAAUACUUGGGGUAAAUGGAACAAAAUGAUUUAUUAAUUUUUUUAAAAUAGCUCUCCAGAAAGAUGAAAAGACAAAAUUCACAGUGAGCACAGAAAAUAGGAAAUAACUAAGAAUAAAUUUAACAAGAAGUGUGCAGGAUCUUUAUUUUUAUAAAAUUUUCAGAAUUACAGAAAAUAAGCUUUCAGUAUACAGAGAGACAUAUCAUAUUCUUGGAUGAGGCAACUCAAUGUUGUCAAGCUAUUUGUUCUUCCCCAAUCAAUUUAUAGACACAAGAUGAUUCUAAUUGAUAAAUCUGUCUAAAUAAUCACAUGAAGUUUCUAUAUAUAAAACAAAAAAAAAAUAACAUAAAACAACUGAAAAAUUAGAAACAAUUAAAAGACAAGUGAGCAAUUGGGGGAAUAUUUGUAAUAUACACAACUGAUAAAGGACUAAUACUUCUAAUAUAUAAGAUGCUCUUAAAAUCAAUAACAAAAUGAUGAACACUUCCAUAAAAAUGGAAGAUCGUGAGGAGGCCAUCCAAAGAACAUUUUCAAUCUUUGUCUGACUUUUUAACAUCAGUGGAUAUUUUUGACCUUGACCUCCUCUUCCAAACAUUCCCGUCUCUUGGCUUUGCUGACACAUACUCCCCUGAUUCAUCUUCCAUUUCUCUAGCUGCUCCUUAUCUGUCUCUUUUGCUAGUUCUGUCUCUUCUCCCUGGCUUCCAAGUGUUAGGGUUCUACAAGGCUCGUCUCUUCUCAUGCUUUAAUUUCACCUUAAGCAUGUGGUCUGUGUCCAUGGCUUCAGUAAUUAAUUGUCCAUGUGCACAUGAUUCACACAUUUAUUUCUCCAGCCGCACUCACCCUCUGAGCCCCAGAUCCAUAUAUCCAACGGCCUACUUAGCUCUCCACUUGGAUGAUAGCUCCAAAGCUCCUCAAACCCAACACAUGUGAAACUGAGCUCACGAACAUCCCUCCACAAUCAGGUUCUCUUCCAGGUUCAGUCUCUCAAGCUACCACCUUGGAUCCUUGACACUUUUCUCUCCUUUACUCCCUUCCCCAAUCUACUUCAUCGCUGAGCCCCGACAUUUUUCACUUCCUAAGCAUUUCUCGAACUUGUCCACUUCAACUACCACUGCCCUCUCUAAGCUGUCAGGACUCCUAUAUACAGUUGUGAAGAUUCCUCAUAUGCAUUUAAGAUUCUCCUGUGUCUUUUCAUGGCCUGAUACCUCAUUUCUUCUUGUUGCUGAAUACUAUUCUAUUGUAUGA